rnacentral:rRNA from 1 species
GAUGAACGCUGGCGGCGUGCCUAAUACAUGCAAGUCGAGCGAACGGACGAGAAGCUUGCUUCUCUGAUGUUAGCGGCGGACGGGUGAGUAACACGUGGAUAACCUACCUAUAAGACUGGGAUAACUUCGGGACACCGGAGCUAAUACCGGAUAAUCUUUUGAUCCGCAUGGUUCAAAAGUGAAAGACGGUCUUGCUGUCACUUAUAGAUGGAUCCGCGCUGCAUUAGAUAGUUGGUAAGGUAACGGGUUACCAAGGCAACGAUGCAUAGCCGAGCUGAGAGAGGGAUAGGCGACCCGGGAGGGGGGACACGGUCCAGAGGCCUACGGUAGGCAGCAGUAUGCAAUCGUCCGCAAUGGGCGAAAGCCUUACAGAACAACGCCGCGCGAGUGAUGAAGGUCUUCGGAUCGUAAAACUCUGUUAUUAGGGAAGAACAGAUUUGUAAGUAGCUGUGCACAGCUUGACGGUACCUAAUCAGAAAGCCACGGCUAACUACGUG